rnacentral:rRNA from 1 species
AUGAACGCUGGCGGCGUGCCUAACACAUGCAAGGUCGAACGGGGUUAAGUGAUGUUUUCGGAUGGAUCUUAACUUAGUGGCGGACGGGUGAGUAACGCGUGGAUAACCUGCCUCACACAGGGGGAUAGCAGCUGGAAACGGCUGGUAAUACCGCAUAAGACCACGGUGCCGCAUGGCACAGGGGUAAAAGAUUUAUCGGUGUGAGAUGGAUCCGCGUCUGAUUAGCCAGUUGGCGGGGUAACGGCCCACCAAAGCGACGAUCAGUAGCCGGCCUGAGAGGGUGAACGGCCACAUUGGGACUGAGACACGGCCCAAACUCCUACGGGAGGCAGCAGUGGGGAAUAUUGCACAAUGGGCGCAAGCCUGAUGCAGCAACGCCCGCGUGAGUGAAGAAGUAUUUCGGUAUGUAAAGCUCUAUCGGCAGGGAAGAAAGGCCCGCAAGGGAGAUGACGGUACCUGACUAAGAAGCCCCGGCUAACUACGUGCCAGCAGCAGC